UAACUCUUGUAAGCUAUAUAAGCUGUUAAGUUCAUACCUUAAAAAAGGUCUAUUCCCGUGAGUUUUUGUUUUCAUACAAACCCUCCCAAGAGUAUAAAACCAUGGACAAACCUCCAGAUUUGAAAGUUUUCUAUAGCCGGCAAAAAUACACAGCGAGGCUAAAUGCGUGCCAGCAACCGCGGAUAUACGCACUGCGCAUGAUGAUAUAUAUAUCGUUAAUAGAUCGAACAGAAGGUAAUAUUUAUAAAGUAAAAAGGCUGGUGAUGUGAAGGAGGCUAGAUAGCUCCGUAAUACAGUUAAACAUAUUUGAGCAGUUAAAAACUUAGAAAACCUGGCAGAAGCAUAACAAAAAGGCUCUUUGAAGUAUAGAUAACCCGCUAUGUUGCUAAAGUUUAUAAAUAGUGUAUUGCUGAUACGGUACUCUUACCGGAGGGCCGACACCUCAAGCCUUAAUGCUUUUACUUAGUGAUUGUUUGAGAGAUUUAGAUUUUAAAGUAAUACGAUUUUACAGAUUUUUAUUAGCUUUGUACAUAUUGCCCGUCACCUCGUCUACCACAGAUGAGAAAGUCGACACAUAGUAGGUGUAGUGGAAAUUGCACCUUUCCACAUACUGAACGCACACCCGGACAAAAUUCACAUGCGGUGAGGGCCGCCGAAUAAUUACGCCGGCUGCAAA
rnacentral:rRNA from 1 species